UAAUAACUUCUACUUUUCAUU
rnacentral:piRNA from 1 species